UGACUAGAAACCAUCCAUAAGCAACAGAUAAACAGAAGAACGAAGUUGUCAUUCAAAACAUCCACAAAGAUAAACCAACAUAAGCAUGAGCCUAAUUCACAAGAUCAAGGAGUACCAAAUUCAUCAGAAGAGUAGCAUUAUCUCUCAAGCUACAAACCCAAGAUCCAAAAGAAUAAGAAUGAAUACCUUGAGCUGCAAUUAAUACAUAGAAGGGAUGUGGUGAACUAUUGGUUCAUAUAACCUCAUGUAUGUCUCUGGUUUAUAACACUCAUGUACAUAUUCAACAGGAUUUUCAUCUCUGUGGAAUAUAGCAAAAAUAGCAUGUGCACAUGGUACACAUAAAUCUUAUCUCCUACAACUACAAGACUUUGCACUUGAUACAUUUUCUCCCCAGCCAAUCUAGGAAUGCAUUGAGAAGCUUCCAUCUUGUUCUUCUCAAUUAUUUUGAAUAUCCAUGGGCCAACAGGGUGUUUCCAUUUACCACAAGCAGCCCUUCGAUUAGCCAUCCUAAGCAUCACAUACAUUCGAAUACUUUCCAAACAUGUCAAAAUGGAAUUAUCUCUUGCAUCAAUUAUAGCUGCAUUAAAGCUCUC
rnacentral:lncRNA from 1 species